AACGAACGCUGGCGGCAUGCCUAACACAUGCCAGUCGAACGAGAACUCCCGAUCUUGUUGCGCAGGGGUACGUAACGACUGGUAACCUGCCCUUAGGCUCGCAAUCACUCACCGAAGGGGAUGCUAAUACCGCGUAAUGUCUUAGGACAAAAGAUUUAUCGCCUUUGGAUGGGCCCGCGUUGGGUUAGCUAGUUGGUAGGGUAAAAGCAUACCAAGGCGACGUUCCAGAGCUGGUCUGAGAGGAGGAUCAGCCACGCUGGGACUGAGACACGGCCCAGACUCCUACGGGAGGCAGCAGUAGGGAAUAUUGGACGAUGGGCGAAAGCCUGAUCCAGCAAUGCCGCGUGAGUGAUGAAGGCCUUAGUGUUGUAAAGCUCUUUUACCAGGGAUGAUAAUGACAGUACCGGGAGAAGAAGCUCCGGCUAACUCCGUG
rnacentral:rRNA from 1 species